rnacentral:rRNA from 1 species
UUUGGCCUCAAAUCAGGUAGGAUUACCCGCUGAACUUAAGCAUAUCAAAA